CAUGCAAGUCGAACGAAGUAGCAAUACUUAGUGGCAGACGGGUGAGUAACAUGUGGGUAUCUACCCUUUGGCCUGGAAUAACACGAGGAAACUUGUGCUAAUACCGGAUAAGUCUUUACGGAGAAAGCUUUAUGCACCAUUGGAUGAGCCCGCACUUGAUUAGUUUGUUGGUAGGGUAAUGGCCUACCAAGACUAUGAUCAAUAGCUGAUUUGAGAGGAUGAUCAGCCACAUUGGGACUGAGACACGGCCCAAACUCCUACGGGAGGCAGCAGUGGGGAAUCUUGCACAAUGGAGGAAACUCUGAUGCAGCGAUGCCGCGUGAGUGAAGAAGGCCUUUGGGUUGUAAAGCUCUUUCGUCGGGGAAGAAAAUGACUGUACCCGAAUAAGAAGGUCCGGCUAACUUCGUGCCAGCAGCCGCGGUAAUACGAAGGGACCUAGCGUAGUUCGGAAUUACUGGGCUUAAAGAGUUCGUAGGUGGUUGAAAAAGUUGGUGGUGAAAUCCCAGAGCUUAACUCUGGAACUGCCAUCAAAACUUUUCAGCUAGAGUAUGAUAGAGGAAAGCAGAAUUUCUAGUGUAGAGGUGAAAUUCGUAGAUAUUAGAAAGAAUACCAACUGCGAAGGCAGCUUUCUGGAUCAUUACUGACACUGAGGAACGAAAGCAUGGGUAGCGAAGAGGAUUAGAUACCCUCGUAGUCCAUGCCGUAAACGAUGUGUGUUAGACGUUGGAAAUUUAUUUUCAGUGUCGCAGGGAAACCGAUAAACACACCGCCUGGGGAGUACGACCGCAAGGUUAAAACUCAAAUGAAUUGACGGGGACCCGCACAAGUAGUGGAGCAUGUGGUUUAAUU
rnacentral:rRNA from 1 species